ensembl:lncRNA RNPC3-DT RNPC3 divergent transcript
GCGCACGGCGGCGAGCGCUAUCUGGAGCUGACCGUGCGGCUCUUAAUCCCUGGCCUUGGGAAAGUGAAUUGGCCUGAAUAGCAAGGAGGAGAACUUGGGUGUGGAAAUACCGGAUUGGCACGAGGGAUACCAACACCGGAAUAUGUGAUGAGAUGUGUGAAGAGCAUGGCAAUGGAUGCAAACUCCCUUUGUGUUUCUGGCUUUAAGCAGCUCUAUACUCUCAUGCUGUCCUACACUCAGCAGCAAUUUGUCACAAGUUUGGGAAAUUCUUCCUACUCUUUUGAACUCCAGCCCAAUUUCCUUUCUAUCACUGCCCUAGGUCUUACUCUUCCAGAAGAAAAAGGGAAAACCCAACCUGAAUGUCCCCUAAAAGUGAAGAAAUGUCCACACUUCUAUGUGCAGAUUGGUAUCUACAUACAGACCUCUUGGAGGAGUCAGACAAACAAGAUCUUGAAUCUUUACUGAUCUCAGUUGAAAUAGACCUUUGGAAUCUACAUUCAACAUUUGAUACUGCGUGUGACUCCUGAUGAACACGCUGAAGAUACAUGAUGUCCAGUAAUUUUUACUGGGGAUAAUACCUGCAAUAUACAUAAGAUGGUGUCAUUAAAGUACAUUUAAAAUUACACAAGACAUUUUAAAAUUACAUAAGUGUAUAUAAGGAGUUUAACACAAAUUUCAAUUACCUUGGCUUAAGAUGAUUUAGCUGUUUCGUAAGUUAACAAAGACCUACCAUUUACUUCCUACUUAGUCUAUGGCUGAAUUUGGCAUUUUUGAAAAUCUUUUGAUAGCCUCUGAGAACUUACUAUUAUUUGUACUCAUUUACUUCCUAAUGAAAGCUAUUAACAAGAUUUAUUUUAGGAAGUUUAUCUCAGACAGGUUUAUGUCCUUAUGGAGCUUUCAAUCUUAAUUUCAAAGACGAAAAGGAAAGUUGUGUGUGAAACAGCACAGAGUACUUUACAGCUUGUUGCAAGAGCUACAGGGAGCAGCAUGGACAGUGGAAACUCACAUAAAGUUCUUCAAAAUUUACUUUUUCUUUUGCUCCCUGAAAAUUGUAAUCAGUUCCUCUUUUCCUACUUAACAUGAAAAAUAAGUCCAAUGGAAUAGUCUGUUGAUUAAUAAAGUUCUAUCAUUUCUUCUUCAUGAAAUGACUAAUUUAACAAAUUAAAUCCUUCAUUUAUUAAGGUUUGUUUAUUACUUAUUUUUCCUCUAUUCCUUUCUCUGAGCUACAAAUCACAGAGAUUUAUAUUUACUUAAAAUUUUCUUAGCACUACCAAUUUGCCUAUUUAAUGAUCAUUUAUGGCCCAUCUGUUGUAUUACUUGGGAUAUUUUAAAUUGAAUUGAUAGAACUUUAUAUUCAAUUAAGUAGAAAUACCAAUUCCAGAGAAGGACUCACUAUCUUUAUUUAGACUAUGAUUUGGCUUUGUGUCCUCACCCAAAUCUCAUCUCAAAUUGUAAUCUCCACCUGUCAGGGGAGGGAUCAGGUUGGAGAUGAUUGGAUCAUGAGGGUGGUUUCCCCCACGCUGUUCUCAGGAUAUUGAGUAACUCAGGAUAGCUGAUGGUUUUAAAGUGUGGCACUUCCUCAUGCUUGCACUUCUCUCUCCUGCCACCAUGUGAAGAAGGGCCUUACUUUCCCUUUGCCUUCCACCAUGAUUGUAAGUUUUUUGAAGCCUCCCCAGCCAUGUGGAACUAUGAGUCAAUUAAACCUCUUUCUUUUAUAAAUUACUCAGUCUUGGGUAUUUAUUUAUUUAUAACAGUGUGAAAAUGGACUAAUAUAGACCAUGUGCAUAAUGCUUAACAAAUUAUUGCCAGAAGAAUUUGGCAUGUACCAUGAUGAGUCUAGACUGGGCUGUUUGCCCAGAGAAGAGGUGCUGGAGGGAGAAGUUGAAGAUAUGUGUAUAUAAGACAAAGGAGAAAACUAACCAAGUCUGAGAUGUAGUUUCCUUAAGAAUAAAACUUUAUAUUUUAUUAAUUUUUUUUUACUGUUCUUGGAAGAUAAUCUGGUUCAAAACUGAUGCUCAAUAAAUCAUUGUUGAAUAAACGAAUGAAUGGGCAAUACUGCUUCCUAACAUAGUACAUUAC